ACGACUAUAUCAGGUCAGUACGAAUAUAUUAGGUCAGUACGAAUAUAUUAGGUCAGUACGAAUAUAUCAGGUCAGUACGAAUGUAUCAGGCCAGUACAAAUAUAUCAGGUCAGUACGACUAUAUCAGGUCAGUACGAAUAUAUCAGGUCAGUACGAAUGUAUCAGGUCAGUACGAAUGUAUCAGGUCAGUACAAAUAUAUUAGGUCAGUACGAAUAUAUCAGGUCAGUACGAAUGUAUCAGGUCAGUACAAAUAUAUUAGGUCAGUACGAAUGUAUCAGGUCAGUACGAAUAUAUCAGGUCAAUACGAAUGUAUCAGGUCAGUACAAAUAUAUUAGGUCAGUACGAAUGUAUCAGGUCAGUACGAAUAUAUCAGGUCAGUACGAAUAUAUCAGGUCAGUACGAAUGUAUCAGGUCAGUACAAAUAUAUUAGGUCAGUACGAAUGUAUCAGGUCAGUACGAAUAUAUCAGGUCAAUACGAAUGUAUCAGGUCAGUACAAAUAUAUUAGGUCAGUACGAAUGUAUCAGGUCAGUACGAAUAUAUCAGGUCAGUACGAAUAUAUCAGGUCAGUACGAAUAUAUCAGGUCAGUACGAAUGUAUCAGGUCAGUACGAAAUAUAUUAGGUCAGUACGAAUAUAUCAGGUCAGUACGAAUGUAUAAGGUCAGUACGGAUAUAUUAUUAGUUACCUAGUCAUAUAGUGACCUGGUACGGGAUGACACCGGGUCACUAAGGUUUAUACCGGGCGAGGCGAAGUUGUACCAGGUCACAAGAGGACUAGGUAACGAAUUUAUCCCACCGAUGACCUAUUUUGAUAUGCAUGAGGCUAUUGCAUACCAGAACUAGAGACAACACCAUACCAUAAAUAUUCCUUGUUCAAAGACGACUAUAUUUAAACAAACUUCUUUUUUGUCGAUCUCGUAUGCUGCCAAACUUGCAAACUGUUUGGCCGCCAUUGUUGUUGACAAAUGCAACAAGAAAGAUAACUCGCAAGGAAGCCUGGUAUAAAUGUUGACGGUGACGUGGGAUAGAAUAUCCCACGUCUUCACGUGACCGUAAUGAACCAAUCAGGAUAUCUCAACUAACUUUUCAGACGUGGGGUAAAUAUAUAUACCAGUCCCGAUAUCAGGUCAGUACGACUAUAUAUGUAUACCAGAUCCAAUCUAAUCAAAGACUUUUUAGAUCCGCGCCACAUACUCUGUGUAAGAAGAUAUGACAUAACCCGAUUAGGGGCCAUGUUCAUGUGAACUUUAUGUUAGCCAAUCAUCGCGUCGCCUAUGAAAUCUUCGGUGUUCACAAUUCAAGGAAAAUGGCUACGAUUGUUUGGUUUGAAAGAAAACUAAAUGCGACGUCACAAUGCACCGUUUACAUUGACCGGCGUUAUAUUCCUCGCGUUAUUUAAGUAAAUCAUCUUGAAAACUAUUCAAAUCGUACCCACCCCUAUUCAUACAUAAAUCGGAAUUUACAAUUAAUUCAAUUUGGGUGUAUUUUUUAUCGUACGUUUUGUUGUUUGUAUGAACGGGAUAGAUUAGGCAUUAUUGCAAAAGUUUAAAAUUUGUUAUGCGAGAAUAUACAAUUUUAGAGUGUGGAAUAAAAUUCGUGGGGGAGAGAUUACAGCGACUUGUUUACGAACUGCCAGGUACCGCCUAAAUAGCUAUCAUUGUCUGUAUGGCGCAAUCUGACUGGCUGAUAGUUCUCGUGAAUAUUCCAAGCGAAAGGUCAUGCGGACAUGACCCCCUAUGGGGUUAUGUCGGAUCCAAUUGUAGCGAUUGUGAGCGUAUUCUAGGAUCUGAUUUUAAUUAGAGUGUACCAGUCCCAAUAUAAGGUCAAUACUUAUAGGUUAUAGACUUUGUAUGGGAAAAUUUGACAACCGAGUUUUUUGGCGCGUAGACGGACCGAGCUUGCGACAAAAAAACGAGGUCGUCAUAUUUCCCAUACAAAGUCUAUAACCUUUUUAUUAUAUACUUUCAAUUUCAUUUAGAAACUAACAACAAUUUUGUUUUUAACAAUAACUUUAUCGGUUUAACUGAGUAAAAGAUGAAAAACACGAAAAAUUUGAAAACUAAUGGCGUAGAAAUUUGAUUGUAACGUAAUGUUUGCGGGCCGGAAUGUUUCCGGUGAUAUAAGCCCGCAAACUUUUAAAGAAAAAAGAAGAGAUGAAAUUGAAAGUAUAUAAUUAUGCCUCGUUCACACGGAUGCGCAUUAAAUUUUACUUCGCAUCAAAUUUGAUGCGAAGUAAAAUAAUGCCCAUUAAAUUAAUUCGAAUUAAAUAACGUUCACACGGCGGUAAUAUUUAAUGCGAAGUAAACUAAUGCACAUUAAAUUCGUAUGCAUCUCUAUUAAAGGGUGCGCGAAAUAAAUUAAAGAAUAGACUAUGUUAUUGAAAAUUAUUUUUUAUAAAUAUUUUAAUGAAUAUUGUGUAGAUCUAUACAGAAUUCUUUGUUCAAAACGCUAUAUAGGCCUACAUGUAGUAUACUACAUGUUUACAAUUUAGGCCUACAUACAUAAUUCUGAUCUACACAUAAGGAGUUUUUUGUCGUGUUUAUUUAUAUGUUCCCAAGAAAUUACUUGUUAUUUCCUCCGACAACCAGCAUUCAAUCUAGACAAUCUAUUGUUUCUUCAUGGGCCCAAUUUUAAAACUUCGAAACGUCUUUUUCACCAUUCCGUUGACUACUGUUAUAACGUAGUUUUUAGGCCUAAUUACUAAUACGUAUUAUAAGUCUACUGUGACGUCAUAUGGUAUACAAAUUAACAAUGAGCCGCAUAUGUUUUAAAAAAUGUAAAAAAGAAAAUCAUAUUAUCACUAUUUUAAAACAUUGUUGUCGUAUCUAAAAAGAAUUCCUUCCACAUGUAUUACUCAGUAUGUCUAUGCAGAGCACAGAUUUACGUCUGACAUUAUCUAAUGACAUGCUGUUUGUACAUGUUUUUAGUUAUUAUUAUCAUUUUGCUUAGUUUUUCGUACAAAACUAACAUUAAUAUAUAUAGCUGGCCAUGGGUAUGAUGCAUGUGACCCAAGUUGGCCAUUACGCAUGCGUCUACAUUUAAUUCGAAUUAGCUUCGCUUAGCGUUCACACGGAGCUAAUGCGAAGUAAAUUUAAUUCGCAUUAAAUCGCGACGUCAAUUUUAAUUCGAAGUAAACUAAUGCGCAUUAAAAUCUCCGUGUGAACAUAUAUGUAUAAAGGUAACGACAAAACAUCAAGUGAUUGAUAUACUAGUAUAUACAGUGUGUGUGAGUUCGUCUCAAGAUAUCGGGUGAAUGAUGUACAAAUGUUUGACUGGCAGAUGGAAUGCCUAUAUUUAUGUAUCAAUGCUACUCCAACCCAGAUAUCAACUCAAUGCCCUUACUUAAUGUCACCACUGCUGCUCUAUCUCAGAUAUCAGGUCAUUAACCAUGACUGUGUUAUAACUGUUACACUAUCUCAGAUAUCAGGUAAUUGUCCACAACUGUUACUCUAUCUCAGAUAUCAGGUCAUUAACCAUGACUGUGUUAUAACUGUUACUUUAUCUCAGAUAUCAGGUCAUUGCCCAUAACUGUUAUAACUGUUACUUUAUCUCAGAUAUCAAGUAAUUGUCCACAACUGUUACCACUGUUACUCAAUUUCAGAUAUCAGGUCAUUGCCCAUAUCUUAUCACUGUUACUCUAUCUGAGAUAUAAGGUGAAUGUCCAUAACUGUGGUAAAACUGUUACUCUAUCUCAGAUAUCAUGUCAUUGUCCAGAAGUGUGUUAUCACUGCUACUCUAUCUCAGAUAUCCCAUAUAUAAAGUCUCUGAAUGUGGAACAAAAUUACUGUAACUAAUACUAAAAUAAGACUGAAGCGAAUCCAGAGUAUAAUGCGUAUUUAUCACGGCAGAACGUAAGAAAACAACGGAAGACAGUCCGGGGUGUUCUGAAUGAAAACAUGCAAUCUACGACACAAGUUUUUCCGCACACAUUUCAGCUCUGUAUUUUUACACUAACGCCUCAAAGUUUGAUAUCACAGAAUUCCUAACAUAUUUCCAAAGUUAAUUUACUCCCCACUAGAUUAAGAAUUUCAUUAGCGAUGAACUCGUCUAUUCAUUGUGAUGAUGUAUAUGCAGAUACGGGGUUUCCCAGAAGAAAUGAAUGCUAUGCAUUGCGAUCAAUCUAGGUUUGGCUGACAUUCAAGAUCAGUACGGACAAGUCUCUACAAGAAAGUACACAUGCACACCGAAAGUGCGCCAUUAUUAUAAUUCAUCUCCGUGUGAAAGUGCGCCAUUAUUAUAAUUCAUUUCCGUGUGAAAGUGCGCCAUUAUUAUAAUUCAUCUCCGUGUGAUUAUGCAUCUGGACUAAUGUAAUGCCGACGCCUCAAUGUUAAGAUGUUUGUAAUGGGAGGGUCUGUUGGAAUGUUGAACAGACACGUUCUUAGAAAA